rnacentral:rRNA from 1 species
UGGCGGCGUGCCUAAUACAUGCAAGUCAACGGCUUUCGUAUGGAAGCUUGCUUCCACUGAGAAGAUAGUGGGCGAACGGGUGAGUAACACGUGGGGUAACCCUGCCCAUAAGAGGGGGGAGUAACAUCCGGAAACGGGUGCUAAUACCGCAUAGUUUUCUUGAUCGCAUGAUCGGGAAAGGAAAGACGGCCUUUGUGCUGUCGCUUAUGGAUGGACCCGCGGCGUAUUAGUUAGUUGGUGAGGUAACGGCUCACCAAGACGAUGAUACGUAGCCGACCUGAGAGGGUGAUCGGCCACAUUGGGACUGAGACACGGCCCAAACUCCUACGGGAGGCAGCAGUAGGGAAUCUUCCGCAAUGGACGAAAGUCUGACGGAGCAACGCCGCGUGAGUGAAGAAAAGGGUUUUCGGAUCGUAAAACUCUGUUGUCAGAGAAGAACAAGUUGGAGAGUAACUGCUCCAGCCUUGACGGUAUCUGACCAGAAAGCCACGGCUAACUACGUGCCAGCCGCUGC